rnacentral:lncRNA from 1 species
CCUCACAAUAAAAAAUGUAAUAACCUGUUAAAAUUAAUUUUGGGGAAGAUUUAGAAUGAAAAAUAGAAAAACGCAUACAAAUGAAAGAGCGUGAAUUUAGAAAGCGUGAUUUGGACUUUCUCUUUUUCUUUGUUCGGACAAAAGUUAACAGCUUUAUUCCUAUACGAGGGAAUUACGGACUGCACGACAAAUUGCGAAAAAAGCGGUUUAGAAUGAUUCAAAAGGAAAUUCGUUACUUAUAAUUCUCGUCCCUCUACGGUCGACGAUGAGAAUUAAAUCUUUCGGGUUAUUAAAGCCUUUUCGUGGCUAGAUAAUAACUGUGAACAGUUGGUAGAGAACAAUAACGCGAGUGCGGUGCGGCGGUUGUUGACAUUGUCAUCAUGCCGUCAAGGAUCGGUCACGGUUCAGUCGGUCACGACUGCCUGCACGUGGAUUUCCGUGUGCAGGACGCUCAAUUAGCGAGGCAGUGAAGCUUCAUCAUGAAAUACGUUAUACUCGCGAACGAUAUACAAUCGCCAAGAGAUCAUAAUUCACGUGAAAACAAUAUGGCGAGUGUUGUGUGCAACUCUAUUAAAAACUUCUUCGCCAUAAAUAACGCUCUUAAAAUCGUACGUGAAAUUUGUGUCUCAGCAUAUACAUAUUUUUAACGAUACCUAUAUGUAUUUAUAUACAGCCGUUAAGGCUUAUUUUGUAACAUUUCGCGAUUAUUUUUCCUACAUCCGGCUCGUAAAACAUGGCUGAAUAUACGCCAAUAGCGUAUUUAUCGUCCGACGAAGAUCAAUUUACAUUUUCUAUACCAAAUAUAGCGAGUAUAAUUAACACAAUGAGGAAUAUCUCAUGGCCAAGAAUGGUCAGUCGCGAUAUGCAGGAAAGCGCGCGCCGACGAGCCGCAAUUUUCAAAUGUCAUAUUUCUGACAUUCGUGACAGCUGAUUUUGCAUAUUUUGUCGACUCAGGGUUCAAGGGUAUGUCAUAAAUCCACGUUAGCAAAUUUAUAAUCAUAGUGUGUGUUUUCACGAGAAUUACCGUACGGUACGGUCGACAAUGUGCACGCUAGUCGGCGGCCGGUCACGGUUGAAUAAUCGCGGAACCGGCGACAUUUUUUUCCCCUCCGCCGCGCGAUCCGCGAACGCGGAGUAUAAGGUAUAAGGUUUAAUUGCUCGCGAAAUACGUCGCCGCGCGCCAUUCAGGCUCAUCGGCGUAUCGCGCUAAUGGCUUCAGGGUGCAUUAAAUCGGCGCUCGUACAGCGGGAGACACUAUAAUUUGAGGUACUCCUGGAUUAAACACAAGUAAGGGUCACGCCCUUGCACAAUCUGUCGGCGCUCGCCUCUUCUUCUUCUCGCAAUUAGCGGAAAAAACCGACACGGUAUGUUCGUUACGCAUUCCGCCCGUUUUCCCCGUGACUCGUCAUUAAGUGGAUGAAAUAAUAGAAAUGUUCCGCGGGAGACGUCUUCCUGCUGUGUCAUCAAACGAGACACAUUUUUCAAAAUUCAAUUUAAUUCGUAUCCAACGUGAAUGUUAGAAAUUUGACCUUUUAUUUCAUCGGCACGACAAAAAAUUAAGUUUUAACUAAAAAGUUAUUUGUUAUUAGAAAAAAAAGGUAUUAAACAAUUCGUGUUUCCCACUGUUUAAUUCAAUCUUGCCAAAUAUUUCCACCGAUUUUUUAAAAAUAUUCUGUUUAAUCAUUAUGCCAAUAAUAUUAAACGUCAAUUGAAUUUCAAAAUUAUCAAUAAUUACAUAAUUACAUGUAAUGAUAAAUUAAAUAAGUAUUUCUCACCGUUAUUUUGAUUUCAUUCGAUAUAUACACUCUUACAAAUGUAAUUGUUUCCGUGCUACAAAAUAAAGAGAUACUCGAAAGUAAUCACAAAUUGACAAUAAUUGGCAAUAAUUCAAAGUCGGAUAAAUUAAAAUGGAGAUCUCCGAGUUUCAAUUUAAUCUUUCUAAUCGACUACUCUCAUAUAUGCAUGUGGGAAUUAUCUAGAUCGCAAAGACGUAAUAUCGAUUAAAAAAUCGCGCGUAUGUUAUGUAAAAUAUAAAAGCAAGCAAAAUGUGUCUAGAGUAUAAACGAGCAAAGUAAAAUAAAUCAGUGUCGGCAUGCAUAAUACAUAAACCGCGACCAUCCCCCCGUCGUGGAUCUCCGAUGAAUUCAAUUAGUCUCCGGGAGAAAGAGAGGGAGAGAAAGAGAUCGUAUCACAUGCAAAUUAAUCGGGAAUUAAGCGCCGAGAUUCUCGGGAUUUCGCGAGAUAUGUUCGAGAUGCGGCGAGCGCAUCGGCGCGGCAAUUCGCGUGCGACGCGCAUCGCGCGCACGAUCGUGCGCGCGGCGCAUAAUACGCGCGCGUACGACGUGCGAGGAAAGUAGCAGUCUUUUUCCUCUUCUGGGGUCUCGCGCAGAAACUCUCAACUCGCGUGUGUUUCCGACUCGCAGAUAAAGAACAAUGCGAUGGGACAAUACGAGGAGCGUGGUCGUCGUGCCAAUGUUGCAUGCUAAAUUUAUCCCCACGCCGCCGCCGCGCCGGGUUGACGGCUACGCCGAAUAUACGCGACGAGGCGAUCGUUAUCGCAAUCAGUUUUGAUGAGCGAACAAGCAAUGAAAGCUGAUGACGCGACUUAGCCCCGUAUUCAUGCGUUCAUUCGAGCCGUCGAGAGGCAAAAUGGCUAUGAUUCACGGCUCUAACACACAAUCACGGCAACUAAAAAUUGUAUAAAAAUCAUUCGCCGUACGGGAGAUACGUUUGUUAUAUACAUUUAAUUAUAAAAAAUACUUUUAUUAUCUUUGUUUUAGACAUCAUAACUUGAUUAUGUAUUGAACUACGUGAAGCAAUGUUAAUCUUUAAAAAUGUGUUAAUCAAAGACGCAAGUUAAAAUGUCUCUAAAGUCUACUCAGCAUUAAAAUUCGAAUUAAUCAAAAAUAGAUCAUAAGGAAUUUCGAUGACCAAUUUCGAUCAAUUAACAAGCAAGAGCACGUGCCGAUCGUUAACGAAUGGAGGAAUGACACUGCGCAACUCGAGAGCCGUUUGAUGCAUUCGCAUCGACGACCCGCGAUUCGCCGAUUCUUUCCGUUCCUUCUCCAACAAAAAUGAAGUAAUCUCGGGUCACGCUAUUUAAUUGCGCAAGCGGAAGGACAUUAAAUUUCUCGAAUACGGCGAAAGGAAACUUAACUCCCGGAGUGGCCCGAGAACGACGGACGACAUUGAUGCUCCCGCGUGUGCAUCAACGGCGGUGAAACGUGCGCGCGGAUGAUAUAUGGAUAUACUAAAAUACGCGUGUGCGAGGAGGCCCCGAGACCGAGCGACCGGCCGCUCGUAAAAUAAAGGCGCGUGAUUCAGGCGUCGUCGGACGGCCGCGCGUGACCGCGAAGACUUUCCUGCGCGUAAAAAGACGCGCGCGGCGGGCACACGUGCGUUUACGAGCGACCGUUGCAUACACAACGCGCGGGUGCAUGCGCCAGCCGCGAUGCGCCGAUGCGUCAUUGUAUUGUACAUACGUGCGCGCGCGAAUGUGUGUGCACGUGCGUACGUGCGUGCGUGCGUGCGUGCAUGCGCGUUUACAUUUCGCGGAGAGGGCUGCGCCUCCUGGUUUCAUGCCGCCGGCUCUCCCCGGGCUCCUUUGUCUCUCGCGUCUCUCUACUCUGCUCCUUUUUUCUCUCUCUCUCUCUCUCUCUCUUUUCCCCCGGCAUGACCCCACGCUCCCACCUCCGCGCCCGUACUCUUUCUCUUUGUCUCUCUCUCUCUCUCUCUUUCUCUCUUUCGCUUUUGCUCUUUUUCGCAGAAAGCCGAGGAAGAAAGAACGUGGGAGAGGCCCGCAGCCCGCAGCUCGGGCGCGUGGUUUUUCAUUCUCGAUGCGACGCGACGCGAAGACGCUACGUCAUUAUGUGACAAACAUCAGGCGAUUGGGAACGAUCUGCGAUUUUUAUGCUCGAUCGAGUCAGUUUACUGGGAAACAUGCGCGGCGACACAAUCAUUCCGAGAACCAUUUGUGGUCAAAUGAUUCCGUAUGUCGAUCCGAGAAAAUCUUUUUUCUUUUUGCGCAUAUAUCUUUACGCAAAAAAGAGACGACAUAUUAUUUUACGGCCAUUCCUACGUUAUUCUACGUAGGAAGCGUCUUCAGAUAUCCAUUGGGAAAAAAUAUAAAAUCUGCUAACGAUUUAUAAGAGAAUUAUAAUUGAAAUCCAAUAAUAUUAUACAUAAUUGAUGCACGAUCGACGAAAUAUACAAGAUUUUAUUUAAAAACUUUCUUGACAGAAAUCAGUGAUUCAUAUCUCCAAGAAAAAAAAAA